rfam:Oryza sativa Japonica Group DNA, chromosome 4, cultivar: Nipponbare, complete sequence.
CAUAUACUCCCUCCGUCCCAAAAAAAACCCAAUACUGGGUUUGAAUCUGGACAUACACUAUGUCCAGAUUCAAACCCAGUAUUGGGUUUUUUUUGGGACGGAGGGAGUACUCU